GUGUCAAUAUGCCCUAACAGUGUUAAAGUAUAGCUGGGACAUACUGACAUCCUAAUGUCAUUCAAGUGUUAGGCACCCAGAACUGGCUGAGAAGAAAGGAAGAAAAAACAGAGGAAUUAUCUUUGUUUUUUACCCAGAACUGGCUGGCUAAUGACUCCCAAGUGCUAUGAUCACUUCAUCCAGGCCCUAAUUAAAAAAAAAAAAAAAUCUGAACUAUUUAUGUGUAAUGUUUCUCUACUUAUUAAUAGGAAAAUAAGUUACAUAUACACCACUUUUAGUAGUUUAGUAACCAACUUUGACCUCAACUUCUGAAAAUAAAAGGCAUUCACCAUCAUUUAGCAUCUAUAAGAUACACCACUUAUUAAGCUACUGCAAGAUUACAUAGAGUUACCAGUGCUAAAUAAGAAACACUUCUAUGUUGGGAUAAGGUCUUUAAAGGGAUACCCUACUGCCCAAAUACAAAAAAACAAACAAAAAACUAUUUAAUAAGAAAUCAGUGUAGUAGAUAUAUCCCCAAUGAAAACAUGCAUGUAUUUAAUUAUUUUUCAUUGGGCAUUUAUCUGUAAAUGCUGAAGAUCUCUUGUCUGAAG